GGAAACGGACGCUACAAAAAGACCUUUGGAAAUGCCAGCUAAAUUUAUUCCAUAUCUACAAAAAUAUAGAAUUUACAAGUUGUUCAAGGAUAUGCUGGCAGAUCUGUUGAUUACUAUGCCGAAAGAUCAUUUGAAGCACAUGAAAUUGUUCCUUACCAGACACUUGCAUAGGACGAAGGACACUGAUAGGAUUAUUCUACUCGUUUCCCCAGAACUUAAUAUCGAUGUGAAUAAACUAGUUAAAGAGUUAACAAAGAAUCUCGGGUUUUUCGUAAUUACAAGACGCUGCGUUAUGGAUAGACUAGAAAAAG